UGUUUAGUUUCCUGCAGAACUGAACUCUGUGCUUCUAAGUGAUCCUCGUAAGGAUGAUGCAGCAGUUAUACCGUGUGUUACCUUCAUCAAAAGAUCUUGACUACCAAUCAAACAGUGAUCAAAUGCCUCAAAAAUAAUAUAAGAAAGAAGUUAAAGAUAGAAAGAAUAGACAUGUUACCAAUUAGAAUAACAAUUGCAUGGAAAAAGCAAUUAAAAAGUACACACAUUAUAUUCAAGUUAAACUGUGUUAAAACAUGUUUUAAUCAUACCUGUAACUUAUUAUAAAUACCCAUUUUUUGAGUCCCGUAAGUUCUGAUAAUUCGUAUAUAUUCAUAUUAUUUGAAUGCAAGAGAAUUAAGCGAUUUGCCAAAAAUUAGAUUAAAAAAUGUGGAUGGAAUAAAGUCAAAAAUAUACAUAUGACAUACUCUUAUACGAAUAAACUUUCAAAUAAUAGUUUAACCGAUAAGAAUGAAAGCAUUCAAUAAGGUAUACAAUCAAGAUAUAUGAAAAGAACUUUAACAACAAAAGAAAAAUAAGGACAAUCAGAAAACUAAAGUGCACCAUCGAAGCUCAUGUGGAUGUUCAUUUUUGGAUAGAAAGGCAUGAUUCCGUAGCUCUCCAUAUGUAGUCGAUCAAAAGAAACUAAAUAAUGAAAUUUAAGCAAGGCAAAAAGAAAAGAACAACAAUAUAGCUAAAUGUUUACUCAUUAUCCAUAGGGAUUAAAUAAUGCAAGAACAACAAUACCUCUAAAAGAUAAAGAGAACAAUAGUUUAUUUACAAACUGCGAAUAAGAAAGUGAACACAAAAUUGAGUUUGGAUUCCAAAAGAGAAAUGAUUUAAUAAUUAAAAUUAUUAAAUGCACUUUUUCUUUUUUCUCUCUUAUAAAUGGACUUUUAAUUAAGUAACCUGAAAGAAUCUCAAUUCCACAAAAUUACCUCACGAUAUAACUUUGAACGCAUCUAAGAAGGGGAGACAAUCAAUGUCGCUAAGUGUUUAGCUGCUGCUCUGCAAAAUUUCCAAAAAUUAAACAGUGAUGGCAGCAGAUCUAUUUAAAGUUGUUGGUGUUUAAAAAGAGAUAAAACCAAUAUAAAUAGCAAUAAUUAAAACACACAAAAAUAAAAAAUAAGUAUACGGAUGCUUAUAUUUAAAGAGUCACUAAAAGAUGCAAACCCAAGCAAUAAAACAUACUCAAGUGAGCAAAAAAAAAUCAUUGUGGCAUAUUACCAAACAGAUGAUAUUAAAGGCAUCCCCUUAUUUAUUUUAGCACAUUGAAAUACCCACUCCUAAAAUUAUACUUUAUUUAAUAACUAAAACGAUUUGGGAAAACAAAUUCCCAUAUAAAAUUGUGUAAGGGAUCAAGAUAGCAUGUGAAGAAAAGCAUUUGAGCAUGGGAAGAAAACCAAAGCUAUAGUUAGAAAAUAAACAUGGAGAAAAUAGAUUUUCAGCAAGAUACCAGUUUAUCAGAAGGAAAGUUAUAGAGCUCUACAAAGUAUCUUUUCGAGAAAAUAGCAAGAGAAAGAAGAAUAAAACAAGGCAUAACAACUACAAAUAUAUUGUCAAAUCUUUAAUAAAAACAUGGCAAAAUCCCCUGUAUGAGAGCUUUUCAAUUCAAAUUCAAAUUUUGAUAAUUGAGAAUAGUAUGAGAGAAGGUGUAGAAAGUUGGAUGAGAGUUACAUAAAGGAGGGGUUUCACGAUUGAGGAUCGCGUGCAUUUACUCAUUUUUGUUUGUUUGUGAUUUGUUUGCUGAAUAAACGUGUACAGGUUACAAAAUUAACUUAAUU
rnacentral:lncRNA from 1 species